GGGACAAUAGCUCAACUGGCAGAGCAAGCAGCUCAUAACUGCUCAAUUUUGUGGGUUCAAAUCCCUCUUGUCCCACCA
rnacentral:tRNA from 1 species